rnacentral:rRNA from 1 species
AAUUCCAGCUCCAAAAGCGUAUAUUAAAGUUGUUGCAGUUAAAAAGCUCGUAGUUGAAAUUGAGGACUCAAGWUGGUUUUUUGGUCUAUGAUCAUUAAGCUAUCUUGUCCUUCGCCGUCGUGAAUAUGUUGGUGGUGCUUCAUUGCAUUAUCAGCAUAACCGACAAGUUUACUUUGAAAAAAUUAGAGUGCUUAAAGCAGGCUUACGCUUGUAUAUUGUUGCAUGGAAUAAUGAAAUAGGACUUCGGUUUUAUUUUGUUGGUUUUCGAAACUGAAGUAAUGAUUAAAAGAGACUGCCGGGGGCAUAUGUAUGCUGGUGUUAGAGGUGAAAUUCUUAGAUCAUCAGCAGACAAACAACUGCGAAAGCAUUUGCCAAGAAUGUUUUCAUUAAUCAAGAACGAAAGUCAGAGGAUCGAAGACGAUCAGAUACCGUCCUAGUUCUGACCAUAAACUAUGCCAACUGACAGUUAGCUAAGGUAACUAACAUAUCCUUGCUAGAAGUCACCGGGAAACCAAAGUCUAUGGGUUCCGGGGGAAGUAUGGUUGCAAAGCUGAAACUUAAAGGAAUUGACGGAAGGGCACCACCAGGAGUGGAGCCUGCGGCUUAAUUUGACUCAACACGGGAAAUCUCACCCGGUCCGGACACUGUGAGGAUUGACAGAUUGAUAGCUCUUUCAUGAUUUGGUGGGUGGUGGUGCAUGGCCGUUCUUAGUUGGUGGAGCGAUUUGUCUGGUUAAUUCCGAUAACGAAGCGACUCUGACCUGCUAACUAGUACAUUUGUGUUUAAAUCGCAAGUGCUGACUUCUUAGAGGAAUAAAUAGCGUUUAGCUAAAUGAAAUUGAGCAAUAACAGGUCUGUGAUGCCCUUAGAUGUCCGGGGCCGCACGCGCGCUACAAUGGCAGUAACAGCGAGUUUUAUCCCUGGCCAGAAAUGGUUGGGUAACCUGCUGAAACACUGUCGUAUUUGGAAUAGUGGUUUGAAAUUUUCCCACUUAAACGAGGAAUUCCUAGUAAGCGCAAGUCAUUAACUUGCGCUGAUUACGUCCCUGCCCUUUGUACACACCGCCCGUCGCUACUACCGAUUGAAUGGUUUAGUGAGAUUGUUGGAUUCUGCGCUAAGAAAUGGCAACGUUUCUAUGAAUGGGAGAAGACACUCAAACUUGAUCAUUUAAGGAAGUAAAAGUCGUAACAAGGUUUCC